rnacentral:rRNA from 1 species
CAGCAGCCGCGGUAAUACGUAGGGUGCAAGCGUUAAUCGGAAUUACUGGGCGUAAAGCGUGCGCAGGCGGUUUUGUAAGACAGAGGUGAAAUCCCCGGGCUCAACCUGGGAACUGCCUUUGUGACUGCAAGGCUAGAGUACGGCAGAGGGGGAUGGAAUUCCGCGUGUAGCAGUGAAAUGCGUAGAUAUGCGGAGGAACACCGAUGGCGAAGGCAAUCCCCUGGGCCUGCACUGACGCUCAUGCACGAAAGCGUGGGGAGCAAACAGGAUUAGAUACCCUGGUAGUCCACGCCCUAAACGAUGUCAACUGGUUGUUGGGAAUUAACUUUCUCAGUAACGAAGUAACGCGUGAAGUUGACCGCCUGGGGAGUACGGCCGCAAGGUUAAAACUCAAAGGAAUUGACGG